GGUUUCAUCCAGGGCAAUGACGCAACCAAUCAGUGCUUUACAUGCUUAGAAGGCAACCAAAAGAAGGCUUUUGCACUGGCGAUGAGAGGUUGCAGUGUUGCAGUUAAUGUUCAAAUUGGACAUAGGUGCUAAGUUCAUGGAAUUCCAGUAACUUCUUCAUCUCUAAUCCUAUUACUCCAUUUUGUCAUGGUUCUGGUUGUUUUAGGUAUUUCGUUUCAUG